GCAUGGGUUUAAAUUUAUGGCAGGCCUGCCCCCAGGUCUCUCAUAGUGCCCCAUGCCAGAGCAAACUGUGGCCUUGAACCAUUUCUUGGCUUCUACCCAUAGGCUGCAGUAAGUGAAGUGAGUUGCACAAUG